rnacentral:rRNA from 1 species
GACGGAGGGGACUAGCGUUGUUCGGAAUUACUGGGCGUAAAGCGUGCGUAGGCGGGCUGGAAAGUCAGAGGUGAAAUCCCGGGGCUCAACCCCGGAACUGCCUUUGAAACUUCCAGUCUUGAGUCCGGAAGAGGUGAGUGGAAUUCCGAGUGUAGAGGUGAAAUUCGUAGAUAUUCGGAAGAACACCAGUGGCGAAGGCGGCUCACUGGUCCGGUACUGACGCUGAGGUACGAAAGCGUGGGGAGCAAACAGG